rnacentral:rRNA from 1 species
AGUGAACGCUGGCGGUAGGCCUAACACAUGCAAGUCGAACGGCAGCACAGGAGAGCUUGCUCUCUGGGUGGCGAGUGGCGGACGGGUGAGGAAUACAUCGGAGUCUACCUUUUCGUGGGGGAUAACGUAGGGAAACUUACGCUAAUACCGCAUACGACCUACGGGUGAAAGUGGGGGACCGCAAGGCCUCACGCGAUUAGAUGAGCCGAUGUCCGAUUAGCUAGUUGGCGGGGUAAUGGCCCACCAAGGCGACGAUCGGUAGCUGGUCUGAGAGGAUGAUCAGCCACACUGGAACUGAGACACGGUCCAGGCUCCUACGGGAGGCAGCAGUGGGGAAUAUUGGACAAGGGGCGCAAGCCUGAUCCAGCCAUGCCGCGUGGGUGAAGAAGGCCUUCGGGUUGUAAAGCCCUUUUGUUGGGAAAGAAAUCCUGUCGAUUAAUACUCGGUGGGGAUGACGGUACCCAAAGAAUAAGCACCUGCUAACUUCGUGCCAGCAGCCGCGGUAAUAC